CUACUUUGCUGACGAGCGGCGGACGGGUGAGUAAUGCUUGGGAACAUGCCUUGAGGUGGGGGACAACAGUUGGAAACGACUGCUAAUACCGCAUAAUGUCUACGGACCAAAGGGGGCUUCGGCUCUCGCCUUUAGAUUGGCCCAAGUGGGAUUAGCUAGUUGGUGAGGUAAUGGCUCACCAAGGCGACGAUCCCUAGCUGGUUUGAGAGGAUGAUCAGCCACACUGGGACUGAGACACGGCCCAGACUCCUACGGGAGGCAGCAGUGGGGAAUAUUGCACAAUGGGCGCAAGCCUGAUGCAGCCAUGCCGCGUGUGUGAAGAAGGCCUUCGGGUUGUAAAGCACUUUCAGUCAGGAGGAAAGGUUAACGGUUAAUACCCGUUAGCUGUGACGUUACUGACAGAAGAAGCACCGGCUAACUCCGUGCCAGCAGCCGCGGUAAUACGGAGGGUGCGAGCGUUAAUCGGAAUUACUGGGCGUAAAGCGUACGCAGGCGGUUUGUUAAGCGAGAUGUGAAAAGCCCCGGGCUCAACCUGGGAACUGCAUUUCGAACUGGCAAAC
rnacentral:rRNA from 1 species